UACGAAGGGGGCUAGCGUUGCUCGGAAUCACUGGGCGUAAAGGGUGCGUAGGCGGGGCUUUAAGUCAGGGGUGAAAUCCUGGAGCUCAACUCCAGAACUGCCUUUGAUACUGAAGAUCUUGAGUUCGGGAGAGGUGAGUGGAACUGCGAGUGUAGAGGUGAAAUUCGUAGAUAUUCGCAAGAACACCAGUGGCGAAGGCGGCUCACUGGCCCGACGCUGACGCUGAGGCACGAAAGCGUGGGGAGCAAACAGG
rnacentral:rRNA from 1 species